UACAGAGGGUGCAAGCGUUAAUCGGAAUUACUGGGCGUAAAGCGUGCGUAGGUGGUUUGUUAAGUCAGGUGUGAAAUCCCCGGGCUCAACCUGGGAACUGCGCUUGAUACUGGCAAGCUAGAGUGUGGUAGAGGGUAGUGGAAUUCCGCAUGUAGCGGUGAAAUGCGUAGAGAUGCGGAGGAACACCAGUGGCGAAGGCGGCUACCUGGACCAACACUGACACUGAGGUACGAAAGCGUGGGGAGCAAACAGG
rnacentral:rRNA from 1 species